CCUACGGGGGGCAGCAGUCGAGAAUCAUUCACAAUGGGGGAAACCCUGAUGGUGCGACGCCGCGUGGGGGAAUGAAGGUCUUCGGAUUGUAAACCCCUGUCAUGUGGGAGCAAAUUAAAAAGAUAGUACCACAAGAGGAAGAGACGGCUAACUCUGUGCCAGCAGCCGCGGUAAUACAGGGGUCUCAAGCGUUGUUCGGAAUCACUGGGCGUAAAGCGUGCGUAGGCUGUUUCGUAGGUCGUGUGUGAAAGGCGCGGGCUCAACCCGCGGACGGCACAUGAUACUGCGAGACUAGAGUAAGGGAGAGGGAACCGGAAUUCUCGGUGUAGCAGUGAAAUGCGUAGAUAUCGAGAGGAACACUCGUGGCGAAGGCGGGUUCCUGGACAUUAACUGACGCUGAGGCACGAAGGCCAGGGGAGCGAAAGGGAUUAGAUACCCGAGUAGUC
rnacentral:rRNA from 1 species